rnacentral:rRNA from 1 species
AUUGAACGCUGGCGGCAGGCUUAACACAUGCAAGUCGAGCGGGGUGAUGGUGCUUGCACUAUCACUUAGCGGCGGACGGGUGAGUAAUGCUUAGGAAUCUGCCUAUUAGUGGGGGACAACAUCUCGAAAGGGAUGCUAAUACCGCAUACGUCCUACGGGAGAAAGCAGGGGAUCACUUGUGACCUUGCGCUAAUAGAUGAGCCUAAGUCGGAUUAGCUAGUUGGUGGGGUAAAGGCCUACCAAGGCGACGAUCUGUAGCGGGUCUGAGAGGAUGGGCCGCAGCACUGGGACUGAGAGACGGCCCAGACUCCUACGGGAGGCAGCAGUGGGGAAUAUUGGACAAUGGGGGGAAUCCUGAUCCAGCCAUGCCGCGUGUGUGAAGAAGGCCUUAUGGUUGUGAAGCACUUUAAGCGGGGAGGAGGCUCUUUUGGUUAAUACCCAAGAUGAGUGGACGUUACUCGCAGAAUAAGCACCGGCUAACUCUGUGCCAGCCGCCGCUGUAA